GCUUACGGCCACACGCCUGGUUCACGCCCGAUCUCGCUUUGAUCUCGGAAGCUAAGAUAGGGUUGGGCCUGGUUAGUACUUGGAUGGGAGACCGCCUGGGAAUACCAGGUGCUGUAAGCU
rnacentral:rRNA from 1 species